rnacentral:rRNA from 1 species
GGGGAAUGUUGCACAAUGGGCGCAAGCCUGAUGCAGCCAUGCCGCGUGUGUGAAGAAGGCCUUCGGGUUGUAAAGCACUUUCAGCGGGGAGGAAGGCGUGAGGUUAAUAACCUUGUCGAUUGACGUUACCCGCAGAAGAAGCACCGGCUAACUCCGUGCCAGCAGCCGCGGUAAUACGGAGGGUGCAAGCGUUAAUCGGAAUUACUGGGCGUAAAGCGCACGCAGGCGGUCUGUCAAGUCGGAUGUGAAAUCCCCGGGCUCAACCUGAGAACUGCAUUCGAAACUGGCAGGCUAGAGUCUUGUAGAGGGGGGUAGAAUUCCAGGUGUAGCGGUGAAAUGCGUAGAGAUCUGGAGGAAUACCGGUGGCGAAGGCGGCCCCCUGGACAAAGACUGACGCUCAGGUGCGAAAGCGUGGGGAGCAAAC